AGAGUUUGAUCAUGGCUCAGAUUGAACGCUGGCGGCAGGCUUAACACAUGCAAGUCGAGCGGAAACAGAGAAUAGCUUGCUAUUCAGAUGUCGAGCGGCGGACGGGUGAGUAACGCGUAGGAAUCUACCUAUUAGUGGGGGAUAGCCCAGAGAAAUUUGGAUUAAUACCGCAUACGCCCUACGGGGGAAAGGAGGGGACUCUUCGGAGCCUUUCGCUAUUAGAUGAGCCUGCGUAAGAUUAGCUAGAUGGUGGGGUAAAGGCCUACCAUGGCGACGAUCUUUAACUGGUUUGAGAGGAUGAUCAGUCACACUGGAACUGAGACACGGUCCAGACUCCUACGGGAGGCAGCAGUGGGGAAUAUUGCACAAUGGACGAAAGUCUGAUGCAGCAACGCCGCGUGGAGGAUGACACAUUUCGGUGCGUAAACUCCUUUUAUAUAGGAAGAUAAUGACGGUACUAUAUGAAUAAGCACCGGCUAACUCCGUGCCAGCAGCCGCGGUAAUACGGAGGGUGCAAGCGUUACUCGGAAUCACUGGGCGUAAAGAGAAUGUAGGCGGAUUAAUAAGUCAGAUGUGAAAGCCAAUGGCUCAACCAUUGAACUGCAUUUGAAACUGUUAAUCUAGAAUAUGGGAGAGGUAGAUGGAAUUUCUGGUGUAGGGGUAAAAUCCGUAGAGAUCAGAAGGAAUACCGAUUGCGAAGGCGAUCUACUGGAACAUUAUUGACGCUGAGAUUCGAAAGCGUGGGGAGCAAACAGGAUUAGAUACCCUGGUAGUCCACGCCCUAAACGAUGCACACUAGUUGUUGCUAUGCUAGACAUAGCAGUAAUGCAGUUAACACAUUAAGUGUGCCGCCUGGGGAGUACGGUCGCAAGAUUAAAACUCAAAGGAAUAGACGGGGACCCGCACAAGCGGUGGAGCAUGUGGUUUAAUUCGACGAUACGCGAAGAACCUUACCUGGACUUGACAUAGAAAGAAUUACGCAGAGAUGUAUAAGUGCUAGCUUGCUAGAACUUUCAUACAGGUGCUGCACGGCUGUCGUCAGCUCGUGUCGUGAGAUGUUGGGUUAAGUCCCGCAACGAGCGCAACCCUCGUGUUUAGUUGCUAACAGUUCGGCUGAGAACUCUAAACAGACUGCCUGGGUAACCAGGAGGAAGGUGAGGACGACGUCAAGUCAUCAUGGCCCUUAUGUCCAGGGCUACACACGUGCUACAAUGGGGCAUACAAAGAGCCGCGAUACCGUGAGGUGGAGCAAAUCUGUUAAAAUGCCUCCCAGUUCGGAUAGCACUCUGCAACUCGAGUGCUUGAAGUUGGAAUCGCUAGUAAUCGUAGAUCAGCAAUGCUACGGUGAAUACGUUCCCGGGUCUUGUACUCACCGCCCGUCACACCAUGGGAAUUGAAUUCAUUCGAAGCGGGGAUGCUAAAAUAGCUACCUUCCACAGUGGAUUUAGUAACUGGGGUGAAGUCGUAACAAGGUAACCGUA
rnacentral:rRNA from 1 species